rnacentral:tRNA from 1 species
GCGCCCGUAGCUCAGCUGGAUAGAGCGUCUGGCUACGAACCAGAAGGCCGGGUGUUCGAAUCACUCCGGGCGCACCA